GGUGCCCGGGCUGCGGAGGGGAGAGCGCCUUGGCCGCUGGCCUGGCUCGUGGUUUCCCCUGGUGCUGGGGAGUGGAGGCGAGUUGUGCUUCCUGCUGGGAGAGAGAAGGGCCUUGGGAAGCUGCUCCAUGAGCCACAGCUGUGCCGAGCCCGGGAGUCUGUCCAGCAGGAUGUCGAGUGCCACCGUGUCCCUGAGGUUCCCCUUUCUGCUGUUGGGAGAGCACGAGGUGGAUGGAGAGGAUCCCCAGCCAUCUGCAGGCAAAAGGGACUCGCACAACUGCGAUUUUUCUCCAGGUCUCUUAAGGGGGACUUUCAGGGUACCAUGGGAGAAAAUCUGGAAAGCAGGAAGGAAGAAAAGAAGCCCCCUGACUCCUCCUGAGCCCCAGACAGCCCAUGAACUGCCUUGCUGGGAAUGGUUGGACAGGAUGGACUCUGGAUUGCUCCCUCUGGAUGUGUGGUAAGACUGUUCUGCCAACUUUUCCAACAGCCUGUAAGCAUUUGCUGCCUUGGCUAGAUGGUGCAAGGGCAGCCUUUAAGCAGCUGAAGCAUUCCCUGAGGAGAGCUCUGGGUCUGCCAGAUGUCUCAGAACUGUUGGAAGCA